AACGAACGCUGGCGGCAGGCUUAACACAUGCAAGUCGAACGGGCACCUUCGGGUGUCAGUGGCAGACGGGUGAGUAACGCGUGGGAACGUACCCUUCGGUUCGGAAUAACCCAGGGAAACUUGGGCUAAUACCGGAUACGUCCGUAAGGAGAAAGAUUUAUUGCCGAAGGAUCGGCCCGCGUCGGAUUAGCUAGUUGGUGGGGUAAUGGCCCACCAAGGCGACGAUCCGUAGCUGGUCUGAGAGGAUGANCAGCCACACUGGGACUGAGACACGGCCCAGACUCCUACGGGAGGCAGCAGUGGGGAAUAUUGGACAAUGGGCGAAAGCCUGAUCCAGCCAUGCCGCGUGAGUGAAGAAGGCCUUAGGGUUGUAAAGCUCUUUCAGCGGGAAGAUAAUGACGGUACCCGCAGAAGAAGUCCCGGCUAACUUCGUGCCAGCC
rnacentral:rRNA from 1 species